rnacentral:lncRNA from 1 species
GAGAAAUGCCGGCUGUGGGGAACGAGGCCGGAGGUUCUAAAGGGUCAAACGAAAAGGCCUGGCGCGGGGAGGCGAAAGGAGGCAAGGGGUGAGGCCUGGGGUGCGGAGCAGCCCAGGGCGCGGCGCCCCGAGAGAGCAAGCCACGGAGGGAGGGACUGGCCAACGGCCUCGGGGAGGUGACGGGGGCAAUUGCCAAGCACCGGAAAAGCCGCUCCCGAGCCCAACACACCUUUAAAUGCAAACAGCAGGCCAAACCCUGCAGGCCCACCCCCUCUCCGGGCGGGAGCCGGGGCGCACGCUCCUCCAAACCCGGAGGCGCUGCCCACCUUGGGGAGUGAAACCCCGACGCGCCGCCGAACCAGACGCCCGGGGCUGGACGCCCAGCCCAAGUUACGCCCAAAGACGCAGUUGCGGCGCGCGAAGCAGCAGGAGGACCCCACUCUCUUUUUCUCGCAACCACUCCCUUAAUUGCUACGUCCUGUUUCGUCCUGAGGGCUAGUUCGAGACUAGUACGUCCUCCGGGGCGGGAACCCACUCCCCUUGACUUGCCCUGAGCUCUAAAUAAAACGCAUCUACUCCGCGUAGGUGUUUGUCUAAAUCAAGCUUUUGUAAACAAGCUUUUUCCUCAGUUCCCCACUCCAGUCACACGCCCUCUACUCAUACUUUUGCCUUUGUACUUAUGUGUCGAUUUUUGGCCAGGUUGCCGAGCAGCCUCUCUACUCUGCUCAGCUAGGUCUGCGCCGAGGCUUGUGCGCUCACCAUCACCCCCAGCCACCAGUUGGACGGCAAUGUGGUGGGCCUGUUGACAGAGAGAAAAGCGCCAGAGGUGGUUUCCUCGAGUUUUAUAUUUCAAAGUGCUCUAUUCUUGAGAACAAAAUUCCUUCUGAAGUAUUACUAAUCCGGCUCCAGGUGUCCAACGCUGCAUAUUCAUGAUGUGAAAUUAGGCAACACACGCCUAUCGCUACAGUAACCCACUCCAGGGACACAUCCGAGAACCUUUCAGGAUGCAUGUCAGGGGAAGCUGGAGACGACGCUUCUCGGACCCGGAGGAAGCGCGGACUUAGCGGGGACGAGCUGAGGCUGAGGGAAGGAGGGGAGCAGGGGUUUGAGGAGCCCGAGGCCGGCGCCGCCGAGUUCCUCCUUCGCAGGAGAUGGUGCCGGCGGAGGCGCUGCCGCCCGCGGCGCAGGUGGCAGCUUGCGUCCCCCGAGAGCGGGCGGAGGCCGGGCUCUGCCGGGGCCAGGCAGCGCUGCAAGGGCGCUCGAAGGUGCACUGUGCCACCCUUGUCUGCAGCUCGAGUUUCAGCGGCGCGUGCUUUUCGCUCUGGGACUUCAGGGAGCAGGGUCGCAAAAGGGCCCCCGUCGUCCUGGUUGGCUCGCAGCAGCAACCUCGCCCCGCCCCCAGUCCCCCUAUCUCGGAGCCACCCUCCUGGGCCUACAGGCGCCGCGGGGCCAGGGACUGGGCGCGGAUCGAGGCGGGGAGGGACCUGGAAAAACCACCCAGAUUGCAUUGCAGUGGGUGAGGCAGCCCGGAGAGCCGGUUCUCCUGAGCCACCUCCCUGCGGGGCUUUUUCGGUGCGCUGUUCCCAGGUGCUCUAUCCUACGUGGGCCAGGGAGUGCCGCCUCGCAGGGACGCGGGACCCGCUGCGUGGCCCCGCGGAGCGGCCCCGAGCGCGCGCGGCGGCUGCCCGGAGGCCCAAGGCCCGGCGUGCGACUGUUGCUGAGAAUGGUUAGAACAGCUCAGGAAGUCGCGCCCCGCCGUCCUUUUUGGCGCCUGGUGUUCGGAUUAAUCAUUUGUAUAGCGCGUUUGGAUAAACUGAGAACUUUAUGAGCGCGUUUGCCGGGGAUUCUGCAGCGUCAUCCGUGUUAGAAUCGAAUCUCAGAGCUCCCCCUUUUCACAGAGGCUUGCCUUUUCUUUUUUAAGGAAGUCGGAUCCCUGGUGUCUGAUUUUUUUAAAUUUAAAGUUUAAUCUGCCUAACUAGGUUACACGGACAGGAUUUUUUUGUUUUAUUUUGUUUUCUAAUGUAUUCCCGGGGCUUGGAACAGAGCCAGAAAUAUACUAGGCAUUCAACAAAUAUUUGUUGAAUGAUUUUAGUGAGUAACACCCAACCAUUUUUGUAGUUCUUUGUCUCCUGAGCUGGGCAGAGUUCAUCACCGCAAAGUAAGAAUAAUCAGGAUGAGGUGCCUGGGAAAAACCUUGAGAAGAGUGGCUCAUUCUACCUGUGGGCUUCAGGUAAAACUCCCCAAAACAAGUCAUGAAAGGCAACUGAAGAACUGUUCCAGAAUAAAGGAACUUGUGAGGCAUCACAACUAAAUGCAACAUGGAACCUGGAUGAAAACAUUUUUUUGCUUUAAGAGACAUUAUUGGGACAAUAGGAGAAAUUUGAAUAAGAUCUGCAGGUUAAAUAUUAGUAUCGUAUCAGUUUUAAUUUCUCAAUUUUUGUAAUAUUACUGUGGUUCAGCAGGAAAAAUGUCCUUUGUUUUAGGAAGUACACAGGAUUUAGGGAUAAAUGGGAAUCGUGUCUAUAACUUACCCUUACAAUUCUGACAAAAUAUACACAUAUGUAUAUAGACAGAGAAAAUGAUAAAGCAAAUGUGGUAAAGUGUUAACAUUGGGGAAUAUGAGUGAAGGAAUUCUUUAUACUAUUCUUUGCACCUUUUAAAAAGUUUUUUAAAAGCAUGAGGACUUUUCUUUUUUUUAAAGAUUGGCACCUGAGCUAAUAUCUAUUGCCAAUCUUUUCUUCUUCUUCUUCUUCUUCCCAAAUCCCCCCAGUACAUAGUUGUAUAUUUUAGUUGUGGGUCCUUCUAAGUUGUGGCAUGUGGGAUGCCGCCUCAGCAUGGCCUGACGAGCGGUGCCGUGUGCUCGCCCAGGAUCCGAACUGGCAAAACCCUGGGCUGCCAAAGCUGAGGGAGCAAACUUAACCACUCCGUCUGGGGCCAGUCCCAAAAGUAUCGGAGGACUUUUUGCUGCCACCACCAUUUGGUGUUUAACAAAGCUCUGUCUCGUGACUUUUUAUGCUAACCUAAUCCUCCAUACUGUAGAAUGAACCCAUUUGUCCUUUCCUUAGUGAAAGAAGGAGAACAAAAGGUCACCAUUUUUUGUAUAACAAUCCUUUCAUAUACUUUAAGGUUGUUCUUAACUUUCCUAGACUAAAUUACUGCAAGUUCUUUAAAGCUUUCCUUGUGAAUCUUACUUUCCUGCUCUUUACUUAUCUUCAUUACCUUCCUUGGAUCCUUUUGCUCGCAUCACUUCUAGAGAGCAGCUCUUGAACUGGACAAAAGACAAAUGUGUCCUCUGUGACCUGUCCGUUGACACAAUGGUACCUAUAUGUCUUCUAAUUUGUCGUGAAGUUCCCUUUUUAAGACUAUGGUAGCAGGACUACCUUUACUGGCUCCAGUUUUGUUUGAGAUCUCUAGAUCUUUCUUGGAGUUCUCGCUUGCACAUACUCAGUUGUUCUCUUGUACCUGUAAAAAAAGAGCCUUCAAAAGUGAAUCAAAGUAUGAAAAUGGUACCGAAUUAGUGGUGAUGGUCACAUAAACACGAAUAUACUAAAAACCACUAAAUUGUACAUUUUAAAAGGGUGAAUAUUAUGGUAUGUGAAUUAUGUCUCAGUUUUUAAAAAUGCUAACCAAAGUUAAAAGCCUGUUCUGAGGCUAUCACAACCAUUGGUAUUUCUUAGUUAUUUGUAUUAGGUGCACUUGUAAAAGACAUCAUGUUUUAUGCUCCUUGGACAAGUGCAACCUCUGAAGUGGAGAGGUAGGGGGAAGUGAUGGUCAGGAUAACUAAAUACAUUAUAAUUUUCUCUGAAUUACUCUGUGCAUUACACACUUAACCAAAUUACUGGUCUGAACAUUUAUUAUAGCAAUUAUUAUAGAUGGUCUGUGUGGAAAAAGUAUGGGUUUAAUAAUUGGCCCUGCCAUUUGCUGCCUUGUGGCCUUGGGCGUGUUCCUUACCCUCACAAGACUCAGUUUCUCACCUGUAAAAAUGGGGAUGAUGAUAACGUACACUUCAUAGGUUUUAAGGGGAGAGGAAGUGUGUAAAGAUGCGUCUUCUUUAAAGAUAACAAACCUGAGAACCAGGAAGAUUACUACUCAAGAGGCAUCUCCAAGUGACGAGGGCUCUCUUCAGACAACAACCACAAAGGCUGGUAACCCUCCAACCUUAGCUUAGUCUAAAGACACCAUCAAGGCAGUCUGGAAUAUUUAAACAUGACUUUACUCACUGCCAUGUCAUAGGGAAAUACACAGAAAAAUUACACAUAUGGAAAUGCUCCAUGAAUCUGCACAAGAUAUGCCUUCUUCUUGGGGACCACAGAACUGAUUUAACUGGGCAUCCAGGGAAAUGCCACCUGAGGAAUUCCUCCCUCCUUGUUCCUGGCCUCAUGCCCUUUGCUCAGGAGUGCAUCCCUGCCUCUCCCAAAAUCCAGUCAGGGAGGGGAGCACAGCAGCAAACCUUGUCUUUCAUCUCAGGAUGGGUUGACAGGAGUGAGUGUUUAAAGAAAGAUUUUAAGAAGGAAAAGAAGUUUUGUUUCUCUUAUUUCUAUUUCCUAAGUUCCCCUGUUUUCCUGUAGCGUGCCUGCUCAUUCACCCAUUUGGCUGAUAAAGGACCAAUUUUCUUAUUCUGCCAAAAGACCAGGAAAUUGUAGCCAUGCUUUGUGUUUGAAGUAUUUAAAGUGUUAUGAAGUUGAGAUAGUAUACUUGGUGGAAACGGUCAUUUGGAUACAGUGAAGACAAUUUUUAUGAUAAGCCUGUAUCUCUUCCAUUUGCAUGUCACUGCAUUCUCACGUAUAGAUUUCUAAGUGAUUAUAAAAUCUAUACAAAGUGUCGGAACUGAUGGAUACAUUCAGUCUUUAUCUAAAAUACUUAUUGGCACCAUAGUAUGUACCAGGCAAGGAAGGUGUUAGGCACUGGAAACACAACAGGAAAUAAACACAAGCAUGGAUCCUUGCCCUUAUUAGGGGACACAGAUAAUCACAAAAACAAAUGUAUCAAUACAAACAGUGAUAAGUGUUCUAACGUUACACAGUGCUCUGGGAUUGCACAACAAGAGUACUGAACAGCACCAGGGAGAUCAGGAAGAGUUCAAUGAGCAGUGGCAUGUGAAUUAAAAUCUGCACGUAGAGGUCAAAUAAGCAAAGAGGUAGGAACAGGUAAGGAAGACGGAAAGAGCCUUCUCAGCAGCAGACGUGCAAAGGUGCAUGGUGGGAAGGCACUUGGCAGUGGAAAUAACUGAGGAAUGGCCAAAGAUUGAAGAUGCUUGAGCAGGAGAAGUGAGAGCUCAAGAAUCCGCCUUGACUUCUCCUAAUGUCCAGUUGGUCACCAAGUCCCUUGGAGUUUUCCCCAGGGAUAACAUGCUUGGAUCACUCCUCCUCCAUUCCUCAGGUGACCCCUCUUGCACAGAACUAUAGAAUCUUUCCAAUGGCUGCAACUGCCUACCAUUGUAUAUACUAACCUUUCCCAUGCAUCCAUUUGGUGGUUUCUAGGAAUACUGGAUUUCACAGUUCUUUAAAAUUUAACCAAAAAGGAGGGAAGGGUAUAGAAAGGAUUUCAAUCUCUAAUUUUGCUAAGAAGGAUACGUAAAAACAAAACAAAACCAAUUACCAUUUACUGUCUCCUUCAUUUCAUAAAAGAAGGCUAUUUUAGCAUUGAAAAAAAAGGUAGACUAAUCUCAGAAAAAAGGACACUUUUAUAUUAUAUGGAUCAGCUUUAUUAAACAUUUGCCACAUUGUAGUUUGUCUCAUUCCACUGCACAUUGGAGAAAAUCAUGUGCCAGGAUUUGGGAGCCAAUUCCAAAAAUUGUUAAUUUGGUGCUCAAUUGAUCAAUUAUCAAACCAAUUAUCAAUGUUUUUCUAAAAUUCACUUCUGUUUUUAAAGUUAAUUUAUAUUUAUUUAAAUCAAAGUAAUACAAGUUUAUCACACUUUACAAAUCUAAUAGUUCUACAUGAUUUAUAAUAAAGAAACCUACAAUCACCUGUCUCUCCUCCCCCGAACUCUGAUUCCUGUUUCCCAAUGGCAGCUACUAUCCACUUUCAGCUGCUUUUCUGUUCUUGUAAUUACCACCUUAUUU